GCAGGGCGGCAGCUACACAUGCAGUCGAACGAGAUCUUCGGAUCUAGUGGCGCACGGGUGAGUAACGCGUGGGAACCUACCUUUUAGUACGGGACAACGUUUGGAAACGAACGCUAAUACCAUAUACGCCCUCCGGGGGAAAGGUCAGCCGCUAAAAGAGGGGCCCGCGUCUGAUUAGCUUGUUGGUAAGGUAACGGCUUACCAAGGCAACGAUCAGUAGCUGGUCUGAGAGGAUGAUCAGCCACACUGGGACUGAGACACGGCCCAGACUCCUACGGGAGGCAGCAGUGGGGAAUAUUGGACAAUGGAGGCAACUCUGAUCCAGCAAUGCCGCGUGUGUGAUGAAGGCCCUAGGGUUGUAAAGCACUUUCAACGGUGAAGAUGAUGACGGUAGCCGUAGAAGAAGCCCCGGCUAACUUCGUGCCAGCAGCCGCGGUAAUACGAAGGGGGCGAGCGUUAUUCGGAAUUAUUGGGCGUAAAGGGCUCGCAGGCUGCUUGAACAGUUAGACGUGAAAUCCCCGGGCUUAACCUGGGAACCGCGUUUAAUACUAGCAAGCUAGAGAAAUAGAGAGGAAAGUGGAACUCCCAGUGUAGAGGUGAAAUUCGUAGAUAUUGGGAAGAACACCAGUGGCGAAAGCGACUUUCUGGCUAUUUUCUGACGCUGAGGAGCGAAAGCGUGGGGAGCAAACAGGAUUAGAUACCCUGGUAGUCCACGCCGUAAACGAUGUGUGCUAGAUGUUGGAG
rnacentral:rRNA from 1 species